rnacentral:tRNA from 1 species
GCCUUUGUGGUGUAGUGGUCAGCACGCUCGGCGGAGAAUUCGAGAGGUCCGUGGUUCGAGUCCCAGCGAGGGCA